rnacentral:rRNA from 1 species
UCCUACGGGAAGCAGCAGUGGGGAAUAUUGCACAAUGGGCGCAAGCCUGAUGCAGCGACGCCGCGUGAGGGAUGACGGCCUUCGGGUUGUAAACCUCUUUCGCCAGGGACGAAGCGUAAGUGACGGUACCUGGAGAAGAAGCACCGGCCAACUACGUGCCAGCAGCCGCGGUAAUACGUAGGGUGCGAGCGUUGUCCGGAAUUACUGGGCGUAAAGAGCUCGUAGGCGGUUUGUCGCGUCGUCUGUGAAAUUCUGCAACUCAAUUGCAGGCGUGCAGGCGAUACGGGCAGACUUGAGUACUACAGGGGAGACUGGAAUUCCUGGUGUAGCGGUGAAAUGCGCAGAUAUCAGGAGGAACACCGGUGGCGAAGGCGGGUCUCUGGGUAGUAACUGACGCUGAGGAGCGAAAGCGUGGGGAGCGAACAGGAUUAGAUACCCUGGUAGUCCACGCCGUAAACGGUGGGUACUAGGUGUGGGGCUCAUUUCACGAGUUCCGUGCCGUAGCUAACGCAUAAGUACCCCGCCUGGAGUAGCCCCCC